UACGUAGGGUCCGAGCGUUGUCCGGAAUUAUUGGGCGUAAAGGGCUCGUAGGCGGUUUGUUGCGUCGGGAGUGAAAACUUCGAGCUUAACUCGGAGCUUGCUUUCGAUACGGGCAGACUUGAGGCAUUCAGGGGAGAACGGAAUUUCUGGUGUAGCGGUGAAAUGCGCAGAUAUCAGAAGGAACACCGGUGGCGAAGGCGGUUCUCUGGGAAUGUUCUGACGCUGAGGAGCGAAAGUGUGGGGAGCAAACAGG
rnacentral:rRNA from 1 species